GUCCGAGCGCCGCCCAGCGCACAGCUACCCCGGAGGGGCGGCUCCUUGGCCAGGGAAGGAGGCGGGAUCUGCUUGCCAGCGGGCGUCUCCGCUUAGCGCUCUCUCCAGAAACCGCUGGGCAGUCUCCUGGGUGAGCGCCAGACGCCUGGGGUCCGUUUGCCGCCUGCUGAGACUAGACAAGGACCCCGGGAGGGCGACGUUGGGGGAGAGGGCUACGGAUGGAGGUCCCGCCGCGCUUGGGCCGGGUCCGGAGCCACCAGGACGCACAGCGGGUUUCCCUCAUUCUCAGUCAGGUGGUUGAGUUAUCCAAGCCUUCAUAACCAGAGGGUCUGAGCACUUGUUGGACUGUGCUUACUGCAGCUUCUCAUUUACAAUUACCACUGCACCUGAGAGUACCAAGAGAUUCCUGAGCCAGAGAUUACGAUUUCCAACUUCCAGCUCCUCAAGGUUUCAAUAUCAGGAUGAUGCCAGCCUCAUAAAAUGAGUUAGGGAGGAGUCUGAGAGGAGCUAUUAGAGCUUUACAGAUGGAGAAACAGAGGGAAGAAGAGACUUGGAAUCACUCUGUCCUGGCUGUGGGUCUAUGAAAAAGAAUGUGGCCUACUGCUAAAUACAUUGAUUUUGAAGCUAGAUAGCUCUGGUUUUGGGGAGCAAGUGAUUUGAUCUCUCAGAGACUCAGCUACUUCAUCAGUAAACAGAGAUUACCAUAUCCACCAGUAAUGGCUAUAGGAGCAGUAAUAGGGAUGAUAUAGGUGAAAGCACUGAUCACUGAAUGAUUCCAAAGACAGGUGCAGAGAGGUUCAGGCAUCAGACAGGCUACCUGGAUCCAAAUCCCAGCUCCAUCAUUUACUACUUUCAUGGCCUUUACAAACCACUAAACUUCUCUCUGAGCUUCAAUUUUCCCAUCUGUAACAUGGGAACUAAUAAAAUGAAACCUUCCUAAUAAAGUUGCCAGGAAGAUUCAUUGAGACAUUGAAUGUAAAGUAUUUAACUCAAUAUAGAGCACAGGGGAGCACCAAAUAAAAUUCAGGUGUUACAUUUUUAAGCACGUGUUCACCAAGGCUCCCAAUUCAGGUGGUGAGGAUUCUAUGAUGAUCAAUUCCUCCUAAGGUAUUUGUAAAAUGACCCACCAGAUUACCAACCAUUCCUGUAUUUCCAGAACCCUUUGGAGUCCUUUAUGUAACCUGGGAGAGCUGUUAUUCUUUUUUCUUUUUGGUAGAAGUGAAAUCCUGCAGGAAAACUUGCUCCAUUUUGGUUAUUUCUGUUAUAUCACAAGGUGGGCUGGAUAGCAAGUUUUGGAAGCACUGAACACCCACACGGAGCUGGCUCCUCUCAGGCGGGGAGGCAUCUUCACUAAGGAGAGGUGCAGUCUGUGUCCCCGUCCUUGACUCUGAGAAUCCCUGUGAUCAACAGAAUGCAGAAAAGUGACACUGCAUGGCUUCUGAGGCUAGGUCCAGAAAAGGUGAUGCAGCUUCCCCCUUUGCGCUGAAAUGCAGUGCUUGGACCUCAGAGCUAUUGACUAAGAAGUCCAUGCACCCUGAGCUUCUCAUGCUGGGGAAGCCACGUGUAGGCAUUCAGUUCCCAGCCCAGCUGAGCUCCAUCCUGGCUGCAACAAUUGUUCUCAUGAGGAAGCCAUCUUGGACACUCAGCUCCAUGGAGCCUCCACGAGUCGCCAGCCCCAACUGACAUCUGUCUCACUGCAACCACAGAAGAGCCUCCAACCAAGAACUGCACAGCUGAACCCUUUCUAAAUUCUUGAUCUCCAAAAAGCCAUGCACAAAAUAAAAUGGUUGUUUUGAGCCACUAAACUCUGGAACCUCGAGUAGGGGAGAAGUUCCUUUGGGUAGGUGUCAUUUUCCUAGGCUACCAUUCAUUUUCUCUUAUUUUGGUGAUAGCAGUCUGAUUUAUGUGUGUGGGUGGGUCGGGGGUAACCCUGAUCUUAAGUCAUGUAGUUCAGGUGCCUCCUGGAUGUGCCUGCCUAACCAUCAUAUCCCCACUACGGUACGGUGUUUGUAAAGAGUUGAGCAAAUAAUCCAGGACAGACCACUGAGAUUCUGCCUUGUGACUUUUGUUAAAAUUAGUGAGAAAAAGUCACUCUCGGGGCAGGCUGGAGUAAAGAGGGAUUGCUAAAUAGAUGCUAGGUAGGCCUGAAACUGCUGGGGGCCAAUUUAUUAUGAAGCAGGAAGAACCUAAUAAGGAAUAAAGUUACUCUGGAGGAAAGCCAAGCAAAGGAGGGUGAGAGACAGCUUCCUGAUGAGACUAAGCUUUGGACCCAGUUUUGCCUGGAACUUCGGCAGGCUGUUUUAGUUUCGUAAGUUAAUACGUACUCCUUUUUGAUUAAGCUAUUUCAGAGGUGUCACUUGCAUCUGAAAGAUUCCUAAUACAGACAGGUAAGAUCAGGUCAUGGAGGGCUUUGUGCCCUGUGAUGGUAAAGUUUUACUUUAUUCUGUAAAGAAUGAGAACUAUAUUUUAAUCAGGAGCAGGAUGAUGAGAUGUACACUUUAGCAAGACACCUGAAUGCACUGAGAAGGGAUAUUUUGGUGUUAGGAACAGGGAAAUGGACUAGGAGUAUAUAGUGUUAGUUUAGGACAUUAUGAUGCCAACUAAUAUAGCUGGUGGGAUUGGAUAUGCAAUUUGAGAAAUAUUUAAAUCAUGGAAUCAACACAAUUCAGACAGGUUGGGUGGUGUUGGGAUAAGGAAGAGAGAAGAAGCAAGGAUGACUUUUAGAUGGAUGGCUUAUAUACAAGCUGGACUAUGUAUCACUAAAGAGAAUAUUAGCUCCAGUUUAUGUCUGAUGACUCAGAAGUUAAACAACCUGCCCAAGGUUGUGUACCUAGUAAGAGCAGAACCAAUCAGGUCUUUAGGCUCCAAGACUUUCAUUCUUUGAAUUGUAUCAGGCCACUCACUGUGUUGAGGCCGCCAUGUGCACUGCAUUCCCAAGAAAUCAUAGCACAUGGGGCUGCUUGUUGUUCAGCACAUCAGGAGGAAGGCAAAAUUAUUAAUGCUUUCUUUUGGUCUCCUUGCUGUGUCUGACUUGCUACCAAACAAAACCUCUGCAGCAGGGCAUUUGUACUAUUCAGGUUUUCUUGGCUGACUUAUCAGCAUUUGUGAAAAGUACAGACGAUUUUGUUCCAGCCUUUCUGCAUUCUGACUUCAGAAGCUGAUUACAGAUGCAGAAACAUGAAGGGAGGUGAAAUCUAUUUCCCAAGAUGGACUAUGGAUUGGUUCUAAAGAUCAAAAGGGUGUGGCUUUUCAAUACAAACAACAAAGUCUGGGAGUUUUUGCACAGUGGAAGAGAAAGGCAAGUAGUAAGGGUGGCAAAGUGCUCAUUAGGAAGAAAAGUUAACAGGAAAACUUGGUUUAAAUCAAGGCAAGUAUGAAGAGAAGGUUAUCAACUUUAUGAAAAAGAGGACCAGAGAAGGCGAAGUGGCAAGCUGAGUGGCGAAUGCUGCUUAUCAUAUAUCCAGUUAAAAUUUCUUGGUCUCAUUCUUCACCAUUGUUAAAAUACUUUAACAUAUUUUAUAUACACUUAAAUAUCUGCUCCUUUCUAGUAAUAUAUUUUAUGUCUUUUACCAUCUUUGAGCCACAAUGAUCUCAACUGUGAAAUGGGAGCAGUAACAAAUUGCACCAUAAGAUUGUUGUGUUAAAUAAUGGCAUGAAUGUGCUUAGCCUGUUGCUUGUCACAUGGAAUCUGCACAGUUAAUGCUCAUAGCCUGUAACUCUUCCCAUCCUCUUCAGCAAGCUUUUAUUUAAUGACGCAGUUACGAAUGAGAAACUCCUGCAAGAAUGAUCAGUGUGCAUUGGAUAGAUGUUAAUUAGGUAGGACAGCCAGCAUUAUGUUCAUUUGAAGGGGAAAAAAACUGAGGUUUUCAGAGGUUAAGUAGCUUGCUGCAAAGUGCUUAGCUAUCAACAAAUAGGAGGUGGUUUUCUCCAGAGGGCCCCAGGUGAGAUGCACAGGUGUUACCCAGUGCAGACUUUUGGUCACCUUCACUUAACAUGGUGAUUGUUAUCAGAUGAGAAAGAAGACACCCUGGAAUUGAGAAAGUGCCAUACAAGAUGAGGCCAUUGCAAAGAGGAAAAAAGAGGCCCUGUGUGAGGCUAGGAAGACAGCACAACAAUGAGCCCAUGGCUUGCCAGGAAAGGAUCAGAAAUGGGAGGAGUGUUGUAGGCUAGUGGGACAUUCUCAAGCUUCAGAUCAGGUGAUUCUGUGCCCAAAUUAUCACUCCUCCAUGUAUUAUCUGUGUGACUUUGAACAAGGUUGUGUAACCUUUCUAAGCCUGUUUCUUCUUUUUUUUUGAUUUUUUUUUUUUGAGAUGAAGUCUCACUCUGUUGCCCAGGCUAGAGUGCAAUGGUGCGUAAUCUCGGCUCACUGCAACCUCUGCCUCCCAGGUUCAAGCAAUUCUCCUGCCUCAGCCUCCCUAGUAGCUGGGAUUACAGGCGAGCACCACCAUGCUCGACUAACUUUUGUAUUUUUAGUAGAGAUGGGUUUCACCAUGUUGGCCAGGGUGGUCUGGAACUCCUGACCUUGUGAUCCACCCGCCUCAACCUCCCAAAUUGCUGGGAUGGAUUACAGGCAUGAGUGGCCGUACCCAGCCUUGUUUCUUCAGUUCUAAAAUGGAUAUAAUAAUGUCUUAUUUAAUUAUCACUGUUAGUAUACAUUGACAUGUCUUGUAAAGUACCCAUCCAGUCCAAUUCCUUAGGAAAUGCUUAAUAAGUAAUAAUAAUUAUGAGCCUAAUUAUUGUUUUUAUUUUGGAGCAAGCCUUAGCUGAACAUUUUCCCUGUGGAAAAAGAUUGUUUGAAUGGGCAUUAACCAAUCUGGAGGGAUUUAUAACAUUUCAAAAAGACUGUUAUAAAACUAGGGAUAGUUUGCCAGAACUGAAAAUCAAUGCAUUUAAUGUUCAGCUGUUUUGAAUGAGGAGGUAGUGCAGGUAACAGACUCUUGGCAGCCCAUCCCCAUUCCUGUUUCAGUCCUGAACCCAGGCAUGGGCUUAAUGUGAGAGAUAGAAAUAGGGCAAUCGAUGACUGAGAUUCAGAAAUGGGGCAGAGCCGGAAAUGUCUGUUGUAAAUUAAUUAAUUUUAAAAAGUCAAUUAGUGAAGAUGUGUUUUUACAUUUUGAAGCCACUACUUCCCGACUUGUCUGGAAAGCCUGAGAUUAAGAAUCACACUUUGGAGGUAAGGGAAUACACUAGUCUGUUCUUGCCCUGCUAUAAAGAACUACCUGAGACUGGGUGAUUUAUAAAGAACAGAGGUUUAAUUGGCUCCUGGUUCCACAGGCUCUCUAGGAAGCGUGGUUGAGGAGGCUUCAGGAAACUUGCAAUCAUGCAGGCACACAUUGCAUGGCUAGAACAGGAGGAAGAGAGUGAAGGGGGAGGUGCUAUACACUUUCAAACAACCAGACCUCGUGAGAACUCACUAUUAUGAUAACAGCAAGGGAGGAAUUCACCCCCAAGAUCCAAUCACCUCCCACCAGGCCCCUCUUCCAACUUUGGGGAUUACAAUUUGACAUGAGACUUGAGUAGGGUCACAAAUCCAAACCAUAUCAUGGGACAAGUGAUUGAAGACUCAUCAUUCUGUUCUGAAUGAAUUUUAUGACCAACUUGCUGUGUAGAGGGAGACAUUUGCCAAAUUUCAUUCAUAAUGGGUUCUGCAUACAGAACAGCUCGGAUUCCAGUUAGCCAUUAUUAUUGUAUGAACUUGCAUGAGUCACUUAAAUAAUUUGUGACCCAAUGUACUCAUCUGUAAAAUGGAGAUGCUAAUGGUAACUUGUUUGUAGCCUUUUGUGAUGAUUAAAUAAGAUUACUUUGUAAAGUGCGUAGACUGGUGUUUGGCAUUGAAUAUAUGCUCACGAAACAUUAGUCACUUUUAAAAGUUACCAUCUCAGAAAGAGAACUGAGAUUUAGCUUAAGCCUUGUAAAACUCCCCGUUGAUAGUUGUGCUCAUCUGCUUUCUGCUUCCCUGAAAGACUUUUAAAACAAAAAGGUGUGAAUUGUGAAGACAUCUUGUUUUUAAGUCAGCAACCAGGUGGGGGGAAGCUGCUAUUAGCACACAGACUUUAGAAGCUAAGACCUCAUAGCAUGAGGAGUGG
rnacentral:lncRNA from 10 species